rnacentral:rRNA from 1 species
AUACGGAGGGUGCGAGCGUUAAUCGGAAUUACUGGGCGUAAAGCGUACGUAGGCGGUUGGUUAAGUUAGAUGUGAAAGCCCCGGGCUUAACCUGGGAACUGCAUUUAAAACUGGCGAACUAGAGUUGAGUAGAGGGGAGUGGAAUUUCAGGUGUAGCGGUGAAAUGCGUAGAGAUCUGAAGGAACACCAGUGGCGAAGGCGACUCCCUGGACUCGAACUGACGCUGAGGUACGAAAGCGUGGGUAGCAAACGGGAUUAGAUACCCGAGUAGUCC